ACGGGGUGGCAAGGGGAGGGGAGAGAACAGCAUGGGGCUGAGCUGGAGAUGUUCCCCUUGUCCGUGCCCCACAGGUUGCAGGGAUAAUAACUCCAGUAGAAGUUCUGCGACCAGCUGUGGGGGCAUUGCAGGCAAAUGGAACAAUGUGUAAAACAACAGCAGAGGCAUGAAACUGCAGAACUCAUUAAUUCAGAUGCAAUGUGGGGAUGUUCCACAGCAGCUUCACGUGGAUGUUGUGAGGGUGAAAAAGGAGGAAACACAUUUUAGAUACAUAAGGAAACGUCCUAGAAAUCCAUCCGGUCUCCUUUGUUGAGCAAUAUUGCUGCAGGCGGAGGCCUCCCAGGGAUUUGCAAGUAAGAGUGAUGAGGACAAGAGUGUAUUCAAGGCAGCCUCUGGGCAAGGAAGGAUGAGAACUUGAAGGUGAAAAACUCUGAAACCCUCCCUGACCCUCAACUAUCAACUGGAUUAACUGGCCUUGGCGUUCUGCUCUGUAAAAUGGGGCACAUCUGCCUCCUAUAAUCCGGCAGGUUCCUGCGGUAUCCCAUGAACACAGCACAAUAAUUGAAGCUCAGUUUCCUCAUCUGUCCAAUGGGGAUACUAAGAAUGACAGCCUCUCGUGGUGGUUAUAAGGCGUCAACAAGAUCACUGAAGUGAAGUACCUCCAACAGUGCCUGUUGAGUAGUAGACAUAGUGAAACCGAGGCUCAGAGAGUCAAGAAAAUCACCUAAUUUUACAUCAGAAAUUAGCGUGGAGACACAAGAGAGAGGAUAGAAACUGAUGGGCAGUUGGUGGAGUGGCCGGCCUCUGCAAAGUGGCCUGAUCGGAUUCCUGAGCUUCUAGGUCAUCGGGCAGGACUGCGACUGGCCGGAGCCAAUGCUACUCCCUCCUGACCUUGAAAGGUGUGACAAGUGGACUUGCAUUCAUUGCUCUACAAGCCUCUAUUGAGUAUCUGUGAUGUCCUGGCAUCGAUCUUAUCUGUGUGAGAAUUUGGUGAGCCAGCAAAGGAGGUGUCUGUGAAGAGCAAAUGAGAUAAACCACAGGGAAAAGCUUUGUAAAUUGAAAGGAGCUAUACAAAGGCUAACCAAUCAGAAGGCCAUCUUCCCCUCAGCUUCCUGCUUAUCCAGACUCUGGAAGAAUUACUCAAGUCCUAACUUCCUUUUCAUUACACUUCUUAGGAGUACAAGGGAACUUCCACUUCUGCCAUGGUCAGGAAGGAGAGGAAUCAAGAGACUACCACCAGAACUGCUGACUUCAAAGUAAGAAUCAGGAAGCCACUUCGGACCCCUACACAACUAUCUAAUCACCCAUGAAGCUGGUGAUUAGGAACCUUCGAUCUGCUGGAGAAAAUCCCGAAGUCUUUACAACUACUUGCCAGUGGCAGUAGCAGAAUUCAGGGAAAUGAACUUCUAAAUCUUGUGGGUGUAUCUAAAUGCAGACCAUGUUAAUUGGGUAAAAGAAACAGAGGUGGAGAUAAGCUUGUUCUCUGUACUGGGUAAACUUCAUGUUUGCAUUUAGUUUUGGGUGGCCUACUUUAAGAGGGGAAGACAAAGGGGCCGGACCAGUGGCACAGCGGUUAAGUUCGCACGUUUCUCUUCUCCAUGGCCCGGGGUUUGCUGGUUCGGGUCCCAGGUGCGGACAUGGCACCGCUUGGUAAAAGCCAUGCUGUGGUAGGCAUCCCACGUAUAAAGUAGAGGAAGAUGGGCAUGGAUGUUAGCUCAGGGCCAGUCUUCCUCGCAAAAAGAGGAGGAUUGGCAGUAGUUAGCUCAGGGCUAAUCUUCCUCAAAAAAAAAAAAAAAAAAAAAGAGGGGAAGAGAUAAAUAACGUAUUUGAGGACAUGAUGACGAAGAGACCAAAAACCAUACUAUGUAAGGAAAAACUGAAGGAUCUGGAGAUUUGUAGCUGGGAGAGAGAAAACUCAAGAACGUUAUGCCAGCUUUUGCUGGAUAUUUGAAAGGCUAGUUCUUUCCGGUCCUUAAGAGUAGGAUGAAAACUAUAGGAGAUAGAUUUUAAUAGACAUGAAGAAGCUUCUACUAGGCAGAGCUAUGGAAUGAUUGGGCUGCUCUGGAGUUCUCCAUCUCUAGAAGUACCCAACCGUUAUUUACAUGACCGGGUGAUACGGGUGUUGUGGAAAAUCUUGUAUUUUUAGAUACUAGAGACUAGAAUUUGUAUUCAUGAUGAAGUUGGUUAAUUUUGGCAAAGCCCUUCAUUUUCCUCAAUUUUCCCAGGUAACUAUGUCUAUGUUAAUGCUAGAUUUAGAAAGAAAUGGAAUAGGAGGAGUCUGAACACAGCAUCUCUUUCAGGACCCAAAAUAAGAUCUUAUGUAGGGGAGUGGCUAUGAGGCACUCAGGAGAGGGCCAGAACAUGGUUGAAAUAAUCCCUUCAGGGGUUAGAGAGGGAUAAGAAACAGCAGUACUUCCCAAAAAAGGAUUUUAGGAAUAUAUCCCAUAUGAGAUUUGGGUGGAAUUGGGAUUUGACUGAGGGGUAUAAUGGGGUUUGGUAUAAAUAAUUACUAAGUAUUGAGCAUACUAUGUAUGUAACAUAUAUCAUUUAAUACUCACAACAUCCUUUUGAGAGAUGCUUUUUUUUUUUUAAAAAAAAAGAUUGGCACCUGAGCUAACAUCUGUUACCAAUCUUUUUUUUUUUCUUCUCCUCCCCAAGCCCCCCAGUACAUAGUUGUAUAUUCUAGUUGCAGGUCCUUCUAGUUGUGGCAUGUAGGAUGCCACCUCAGCAUGGCCGGAUGAGUGGUGCCAUGUCUGCGCCCAGGAUUCAAACCAGUAAAACCCUGGGCUGCCGAAGCUGAGUGAGCAAACUUAGCCACUCAUCCACGGGGCCAGCCCCCUUGAGAGCUUCUUGAUUCACACAUGAGGAAAACGAGGCUUAGAAAGGCUAAAUGACUUGUCCAACGCAGCAGAGUUACUAAGGGGCAGAGCCAGAAUUUGAACCCUCAGGUUCAUGCCCAUGCAUUCCACGACAUCGUGCCCCAUGUCCAAGUUGGGAAAGAAUAAAAAUCCAGCUGAUAAGACAGGCUAGGCUGUUAACAACCUGAUCUACACAGCAGGGCCAAAAGGGUAAGGUAAGGCACAUAUCGGAACCAUCUGGGCAAUGCACCACCCAUUUUUCUUCCCAUAGUCAGAAUAACACAGUCAAACCUAUAUAUAGACAAAGAAUGCUAUUUCUGAGACAUCCUUAAUAACUAAUUUCAGCACCAUUUAUUCUUGCUACAAUUUUUCAUCCAUAAAAUAGAAAUAAAAGUAAUUGCUCAAAAGGUUAUGUGAGGAUUCAUUGAGAUAAUGUAUAUGAAAGUGCUCGCCUAGAGUGUGGUUGCUAAAUAGAGGGGAGUCGACUCUGAGUUCCCAGACCAGGAUUUGUUUUGCUUUUAAUGACAUUCUCAGUCUUAGACCGUCUGGUCAGUUAGAAGGACAACUGAAGAAGAGACAGUCUUGAAUUCUGGGGAGUCUUGUACCAAGAAAAAGAAUUUCACUUGCAAAAUGUUAUCUGAGUCUACCUGUGGUUCUAUUCAAACAGGCAGGGGACGUAGGGACUUUAGCUUGUAUUCAGUGACUCCAAUUUAAGGUCAGGUUAAAACAUGUGAGCAUAAGGCCAAGUGAUGUAGUUUUCUGUACAGUCACUAUUUUCACAGAAGAGUAGGCAGCUGCUUAUGUGAUGUGAUCUGAAAGGCCUUCUGUCCUCAAAUCUCUCCUCUUUCAAUCAGACGUAGAAUCUGAAAUUCCGUUCUGAGAAAUCUAUCCUGGGUUAAAGCAGCACUUCUCAAACUUUGCUAUGUAUCAAGAAUCACCUGAAGAAUUGAUUUAAAAUAUUGGCCCUGGGACUACUGAGUCAGACUCCGGGGGUUGGGGCUCAGGCAACUGUUAUCAACCAGAUGAGUCUAAUACACAAGAAAGUUUGCGAAAUGCCAGAUCAAGGCAUUAUAUAGGUGCCAGGCUGGUGGCGCAGCAGUUAAGUUCAUGCGCUCAGCUUCAGCCGCCCGGGGUUCGCUGGUUCAGAUCCUGGGUAUGGACAUGGCACCGCUUAUCAAGCCAUGCUGUGGCAGGCAUCCCACAUAUAAAAUAGAGGAAGAUGGGCACAGAUGUUCGCUCAGGGCCAAUCUUCCUCAGCAAAAAGAGGAGGAUUGGCAGCAGGUGUUAGUUCAGGGCUGAUCUUUCUCAAAGGAAAAAAAGAAAGAAGGCAUUAUAUCUAUGUAAGUCCCCCAUUACAUUGCAAGUUUUCUCUCAGGGAGGUUGCCAUGGUUCUCAAAUUACAGCUUCUACCUCAUUCUACUAAAACUGUUCUUGUCAAUAUCAUCAGUAAGCUCUUUGUUGUCAACUCUAAUGGAUUCUUUUUGGUCCUCAUGUAUUAUGGUACCUCUUCUCGGCAUUUGAUGCUGUUUACUAUUCCUCCUCUCUUCGUCGCUGAGACACCAAUCUCUCUGUGUUUUCUGCCUUACCUCGCUGACGGAUCCUCAGUCUCCUUUGCUGGCUUGUCCUCCUCCAUUGAACUCUUCAUAUGGAGCUUCCGUCAGGGCUUGUAGCCAGACCCUCUGCUCUUCUCUGUAUACUUACUUCCUGGACUUAAAUAUCUAAUGGCCAGCACAUUUCCAAAUUUUUACCUCCUACUACUCUUCUCUCUUGAGCUCCAGUGUUGCGCUGCCAACCACCUACUUGAUAGAUCCACUUGGCUAUCUUAUGAUUAUCUUAAACUCAACAUGUUGAAAGUGAUCCCCUCGAACUCUCCCCAGCCCCCUGCCAACUUUCUCUAAUCUGCACUUCUCAGGAAGUGGUAACAUCGUCCACCCAGUCACUCAAAUUAGAACCCAGAAGUCAGAUUUCUCCCUCCUCACCCAUAUCUGCUUCAUCAGUAAGUCAUGUCAAUAUCCUCCCAAAUGAUUCUCGAGUCUUCCCAUCUCUCUAUUUCCCGUGACCACUAUCCAGCAAGUCAACCUCCUUUUUCCCAGAAUUCUUCCUGGGAUCCCUGCUUCAUCUCUUACCCCUUUUACAUCAUUCUCAAGGACACCAGAGAAUUCUUUUAAAUAAGUCAAAACAUAAAAACAUAAAUCAGACCAUUAAUUUCUCAAACUAUUCGGUGGCUUCCCACUGCAUUUAGAAUAAAAUUGAUUCCUCACCUGGGUCUCUGAGGCACCCACUAAUUUCUUCCUCCUCUUGGUCUAUAAGGCUCUGUAUCUGCUGGCUCACCACACUUCUCACAGUGUUCCAGACACACUGCCCUUCUUUAAAUUCCUCAAAUGCUCCAAAUCGUUCUCCUCCUCAGGGCCUUUGCUCUGUUCCUUCUGCCUGGAAUGAUCUUCACCUCCAUGACCGGUUCUUUCUCAUCCUUCAGAGCUUAGUUUCAGUCUCACCUUCUGUAGCCACUCUCCCUAAGUAGGUAUUCUCUGUUAUUCUCCAUGAAAAUGUUAAAAGAAAACAUAAGAGAAUAUUUUAAUUUUCUGGAAGUUUGAAAAAGUUUUCCAAGCAUGGCAUGAAACCUAGAAACCAUAAAGAUAAAAAUUGAUGGAUUUGACUAAAUUAAGCAUUUAACAUUUCUGUAUUUCAGAACUGAAAGGUGGAAAAUGCACUGGGAAAAGUCUUUGCAAAGUAUUCUAAGAAAUUAUUCUUUUUAAGAUUUUAGUUUUCCUUUUUCUCCCAAAGCCUCCUGGUACAUAGCUAUGUAUUUUUUAGUUGUGGGUCCUUCAAGUUGUGGCAUGUGGGAUGCUGCCUCAGCAUGGCUUGAUGAGCAGUGCCCUGUCUGCGCCCAGGAUUUGAACCGGCGAAACCCUGGGCCGCUGAAGUGGAGCAUGAGAACUUAACCACGUGGCCUUGGGGCUGGCCCCAGAAAUUUUUUUAAAUCAAUAAGAAAAGAUAAGUAAAUCAAUAGAAAAAUGGGCAAAAGAUACAACUUAUAGAAGAAAAAUAAAAAAUAGCCAGUAAAAAUAUUCUAAGAAAUAUGCUUAACUUUACUCUUAAAAACAUCAGAUUUUUAUCCUGUUGAAUUAGCAAGAAUUAAAAAGAUUUACAAAUACUCAGGUCAGAUGUGUGUGCAAGCAGUUAACUUUCAUACAGUAAUGUCAAAAAUAACAGUUAACUUUCUUAGAUGCAUUGUAAAUUAGUGUAACAUUUUUGUUAAACGAUUUGGCCACAUUUAUUGAAAUUUAGAAUGUGCCUUACCUUUGACCCAACACUGUUUUGAAUUAGAAAUUUUAGGAACUCACCCUAAAACAAUACUUUCACAAUGUGCAUAUAUAUUCAUAUUCAUAUACAUUCACAUACAUAUUUAGUAUAUUCAUAUAUGAUACAUAUUUACAUAUCAAUAUAUGUUUAGCUUGGCAUUGUUUUAAUAAAAAAACUGGAAACCAUCUGAUUAUGCAAUUAAAUAAUUAUACGUUCAUACAAAGAAAUAUUAUGCAGCUGUUAAAAAGAACAAUGUGGAUUUAUAUAUUCCAUUUUGGAAAGAUAUGCUUUGAUAUAUUGUUAAAUUGAACAGAUUUAAAACUGAAUGGAAUGUGUAGUAAGGUCUCAUUUUUUAAAAUAAAGAUUCAAGUAUUUAUAAAUUGCAUAAAUAUGUUCAGGCAUGCAUGGGAAAAUAAGAAAAUGACUGAAAAUCUUAACCAUGACUGUAUUUGGGAAACUGGAUUUUCAAAAACUUGCCCUUUUUACAUCGUACAUUUAUGUAUCCUAUAUUUCUCUAUUGUUUGGAUUUUUUUUAACCACAAGUUUGUACUGUUCUGUAAUUAAAAAAA
ensembl:lncRNA